rnacentral:rRNA from 1 species
GAUGAACGCUGGCGGCGUGCCUAAUACAUGCAAGUCGAGCGAACGGACGAGAAGCUUGCUUUUCUGAUGUUAGCGGCGGACGGGUGAGUAACACGUGGAUAACCUACCUAUAAGACUGGGAUAACUUCGGGAAACCGGAGCUAAUACCGGAUAAUAUUUUGAACCGCAUGGUUCAAAAGUGAAAGACGGUCUUGCUGUCACUUAUAGAUGGAUCCGCGCUGCAUUAGCUAGUUGGUAAGGUAACGGCUUACCAAGGCAACGAUGCAUAGCCGACCUGAGAGGGUGAUCGGCCACACUGGAACUGAGACACGGUCCAGACUCCUACGGGAGGCAGCAGCAGGGAAUCUUCCGCAAUGGGCGAAAGCCUGACGGAGCAACGCCGCGUGAGUGAUGAAGGUCUUCGGAUCGUAAAACUCUGUUAUUAGGGAAGAACAUAUGUGUAAGUAACUGUGCACAUCUUGACGGUACCUAAUCAGAAAGCCACGGCUAACUACGU